AUGUUUCUGAUUUGGGUUACACUCUGAAACCCUCGGUUUCGACGAAGGAUCGGACUGGGAAGAAUAUAAAGUUCAAUUCGAAACAAUUUCGCGAGCGAAUCAUUGGGAUGGACCAAAGAGAGCUUUGGCUUUGGUUUCAUCGUUGGAGGGACCGGCACGAAGUGUUUUAACUGCUCUACCUGCUGACAAACGUUACGAUUACGAGUCGUUAAUUUCGGCUUUAGAAUUCCGAUAUGGAAUUAAAAAUUUUGCCAAUCUGAAUUAUGUAAAGUUCCAAAAUUACAAGCAACAGAGAGGGCAGUCUAUUUCUGAAUUGGCCACUGUUUCCUAUUUUUUGGUCCUAUUGGUCCUGAAGAAGGUGGCUUCGCGUGAGAUUAACUCCACCAUGAAGCGUCCUCAGGUGAGCUUUCUUAACAAGGAGGACAGCCAAGUGUGACUGCCUCCCAAUAAUUAUGGGAUGUCGCUGAUCUGUCGUGAGUGGAGCGUUCUGCAACCUGCCGCCUACCCGUAGAAGCCCCGACCGAUUCAGAAAUGGAUUUAACGCUGCGAAGGAAGACGACUUGCUAACUGAGUUUCCUUUUAAAAGAUUAAACCUUUCUUGAGCAAAGGUCUCCUCCUAACUCAGCCUACAUACACCGAUUUUCGCGUCAUUUAACUCCUCCACCCCAAGAGCUCCAGUUUUCUUAAUUCGAGGGUGUCGAGUAUUGAAAGCGAAGCGAACGAUGUAUGCCGUUACUAGGAUGAGUCUCGAAAAUGAUGAAAAUCGACCCAGAAUCUAACGAUGAGCGAGGCCACUCAGAAGACGAUUUUCUUAACCAAGUGGGUCCAUGCUCCCACAAGGAAAAUGUUUCAAGAACAUCGAAAGGAACUCCUCUCGUGGCUAAAUCGGCAGGAUUAUCUGAUUAUCUGAUUAUCCUAUGAGCGACAAACGGUUUCCAUUAAGAUGGGUGUUCUUGCAGCCAAGUGAGAGACAACUUGCUUCAAACCUAAGCCAUCCCUUAUUGAGAUUAGCAAGCGCGCGAGCAGCAAGGCUCCGCAUAACUCUAAGCGUGUCGCUUGGCAGUGAUGGAUCACUGGAGGCCCAUUUAUCCAACGAAAAACCACCAGUCUCCAGGAUGUUGACCAGCUGCGUCGCGACUGAUAACAUUUGGUCAGAAGAGUCUGCCCCGGCGAGAAGGUCGUCGACGUAGCUGUGUUGACGAAGAACUUCAGCGCCCAACGGAAAACGAGAUUGCUCGUCUGUGGCCAGCUGUUUAAGGACUCGUAGGGCGAGACCGAAUGGUGAGGUAGGUACUAACCUUGGUCCUCCACCUGAUGCGACACCGCCUCCAUAUGACCUAAAGAGGCAUAUUCAGUCAUGAAAGAGGAAUAGUGAUCCCUCAAGACCAGAUCCCGAACUAGACGACGCUCAACACUAAGCAGAACGCGAAGAGCGAUGGGUCUGGAUUGGCACAAGCACAAUUCUUCCGGAGUGAGAGGAGAUGGACCCGAUGGCACCUCUUCCAGUUUCCAAAACCGUUUAAGGUCCAGCUGAACCUGGUUAUCCUGACGAACGAGCAAGACAGUGCGAGACGAACUAUCUAUGAAAGAGGAAGCCUUGGACCCGAUUGGGCCAAGAAGUACCCAGCCAAAUGGAGUACUCACAGCGACAGGCGAACCGGGAGGACCUACGCGCCUUUCCUGGAAAAGUUGACCACAGACAUCAGCGCCAAUUACUGCCUGCGAUGGAGUCGGAGCAAUCAGACUUUUAGAAACAAGUGCGUCAAGGGCUACCUGAAAAGAGCCCGACUGGAACACCCUGAUAGACUGUAAGCGGUACAUGCACCGAGCGACAUUGGGCGAUAUUGGGCAGCAAUAUUGGGCAGCUCGCUCUGAGAUGAACGAAGACUCCGACCCUGAAUCGAUAAGAGGUCUUACCUGGAGAGAUCUUCCAUCAAAGGAUUCCAAACGGACUUGAGCCGUUGCGAGAAGGACUACUCGUUUGACGCAAACCGAAUAAGAAGCGGUGGCAGAAGACGAGCUAGCCGUAGGAGAAGCAGUGAAGGAAGAAUCUCGAUCGUGAGUACUACUCCCCUUCAUGGCAUCAUGAAGCGUUGUGUGAUGUUUGGAGCUGCAAACGAGACAACGAUG